UACGGGGGGAGCAAGCGUUGUUCGGAUUUACUGGGCGUAAAGGGCGCGUAGGCGGCGCAACAAGUCACUUGUGAAAUCUCCGGGCUUAACCCGGAGCGGUCAAGUGAUACUGUCGUGCUAGAGUGCGGAAGGGGCUACUGGAAUUCUCGGUGUAGCGGUGAAAUGCGUAGAUAUCGAGAGGAACACCUGCGGCGAAGGCGGGUUGCUGGGCCGACACGUGACGCUGAGGCGCGAAAGCCAGGGGAGCGAACGGG
rnacentral:rRNA from 1 species